AAGACCCAGUUAUUAAGAGACUGGAUGGGGGGAGAGGCCCUCGCAAUGGCCCUUAUGCACCCCUACAGCCAUGUUAGGAAUAGGAGGAGAACCUCGUCCUAACAUGAGCAAAGUCGAAGAUCCGGUUAUUAAGAGAUCGGAUGGGGGGAGAGGCCCUCGCAAUGACCCUUAUGUGCCCCCACAGUCCUGUUAGAAACAGGAGGAAAAUCUCAUCCUAACAUGAGCUGAAAUUGACUGUGUCGGAAACAGGAGG
rnacentral:lncRNA from 1 species